rnacentral:misc_RNA from 1 species
GCUAUAUCAGCAGUUGUUAUCUUGUUCCGGUUUUGCUAAACUCAACGCGACGAUAUAAGCUGAUUGAAUGCGAAACAGUGAUCGAGUGAAGCAAAGCAUAAAUGGAGAAAGCGAAAGCUGAGAUACACCAGGCUCUUUUUAUCGGCAUCUCAGUCGCGUCGGUUUUACUACAAACAUGUCGAUACAGAAAGGCUAUCGAGUUGUUGGCUGAAUGCUUAGAGUUUCUUAACAAAAACGCUUUGAGGUCAGAUGCCGAAACAUUGAAGUGCCUCUCAGCCCUUGCUUACAGCAGGUUAUCACACAUUUAUUUCCAUAUUGGAGAUUCUAAGAAUGGCUUUAAAAACAGAGAAAAGGCAAACGCUAUAUAUCCCCAGAUAGGUGACAAUAAAAGUUCAGCUGAAUGUCUCGGUAAGCCUAGUAAUAGACACACACCUAAGACCCACGACUCGCAAGAUAAUGGAGAGGAUGAAGAAGUUGAUGAGGUUUUAUCAUCUAGGAAUGAUGGAGACAAGGUAAAGGAAGCAGGUGUUCUUAACAUGCUCAGUAAUUUGGCUCUUUCUCGUUUCGAAUACUUCAGAGCCAGACGCCUUUUAGAAAGAUUAGCUGAACUGUGUGGCGAACUUGGGGACAGGAAGAAGGAGAGAGUUGCAUUACAUCGUCUCGGUGAUCUGUAUAAGUCACUUGAGGAAUAUGAACAGGCUCAGAAAUACCAUAAAAAGGUCCUGCUAAUGGCGGAGGAAGAUGAGGACACCUACAUGCAAGGGGUGGCCACUGGCAGGCUUGGGACGUUAUGUAAAUUACGCGGUGAUUAUGUGCAAGCAAAACGCUUGCGGAAGAAGGCACUCGAAAUUAGUGUGAAAAUCGGAGACAAGGAAGGAGAAAUAAUUGAUAAUAGAUUCCUCUCUGGUAUUCUGCUCAAUCUUGGUGAAUUCAAAGAGGCUCGAGACUGCUGCCUAAAGGCAUUAACUCUUAGUAAAGAAACUGAUGACAAAAACCAAGAGGCCUCAGCUUACAGCGAUCUGGGUGAUGUCCAUAGAAAGUUGAAAAGCUUUGAAAUGGCGGAGCACUGCUACAAGAGAGCGAUAGAAUUAUACGAAGAAACUGGUGACUUAGAAAAUGAAGAAAGUGAAAACAGUCGACUUGGAGAUCUUUACCAUUUUCUUUGUAAGUAUGACCUGGCACUUAAGUGCCAUGAAAGAAGUCUUAUCAUUGAGAAGCAAACUGGUGAUAAAAGAGGAGAAGCUACGCAAUACUGCAACCUUGGAGCUGCUUAUAAAGAUCUGGGAAAUCAUCUCAUGGCUAAGGAAUGUUGUGAACAGGCGCUUGCUAUUAGCAGAGAGUCAAAGCACGAAAGAGGGCAAGCAAUUAAUCUUAGCAAUCUAGGAACUGUCUAUCAACAUCAUGGUGACUACAAAACGGCGUACGAACUCCACCAAAAAGCACUGAACAUUAAAAUUAAAACUGAUUACAAAGCGGAACUAGCUGCUGAAUACCUCCACCUUGGAAGUUGUUGUGCGCGUCUUGGCGAGUAUGCGAAGGCAACCGAGUUUUUGCAUCUAGGACUUGACGUAGCUAGAAAUAUUGGCGAUAGUAAUAGUGAGUCAAAUAUCCUGGCCAGUUUAGCAUCUAUAGAGGGAAUCAUUGGCGAGAAUGAAAACGCAAAAUCUUAUUAUGGAGAGGCACUUCACAUCAGCCAAGAAGCUCAAGAUGUGAGACAAGAGGCAAUGAUGAUGUGUAACCUUGGAGUUGUUGCUCAUUCUCUUGGUGAUAUGCCUAAGGCCAAGGAAUUGCUUGAAAGAUCCUUACGGAUAAUGAAACAAAUUGGAAAUAAAGAGGGAGAAGGUACUGCUUUGUCAUGCCUUGGAAUUAUUUAUCAUUCACUGGGCGAAUACCGUAAGGCAAUAGAAUACAGUGAAAAGGCUCUUUCUAUUUCAAGAGAAUCAAUUGACAAAGAGGGAGAGAUGGCACUCAUCGACAACUUGGGACAGGUUUACCUGACUCAGAAAGAGUUUAAGAAAGCAUAUGAAUGUUUUACUAAGGCUCUGUCAAUCGCUUUAAUGCUUAAGAAUUCACGAAAAGAAAGCCAUAGUUACUGCAACCUAGCGUUGCUGUGCUUUUUGCAAAAAGAUUUAUCAAAAGCUUUCUGGUAUCUCUCAGAAUGCAUUAAGGCGCUAGAAAAAACGUUGGUAUUACACGGAGAAAGCGAACAUUUUAAGAUAGGCUUUGCAGACCAGCACAACAAUCCCUAUCGAUUAAUGGUUGUUGUCCUCCUUAAACUAGGACGUGUUGAACAAGCUUUGGCUGUGUCAGAACUUGGACGUGCACGAUCAUUGGCAAAGCGAAUGGAAACUCAAUAUUCAGCUCAGCCCUUACCUGGUUUUGAUCCUUUUCAAUGGAUUGAUCAUAAAAACGUUGUCCGGAAAACAUCCUGUACUUGUCUGUCAUUUUGUUUUUUUAACGAUGUUCUUAUUUGCUGGAUUUUAAAGGCUAACAUGAAGACACCUUGCAUAGAGCUCGAGAAUUUAGCGAGACAAUGGGUUUCAGCAUACGGUCAACCUAAAGAUACCUCCAUUCAAGACAAGUUGAAGGAUCUGGCAAAUGAAUGCUACAGAAAGUUUUCGCUUUUGUCAGGAGAACGAUGCGAAGAUCGGUAUUUGGUCCUUGAUGAUGUAAAUUCUGAGGCUAGAUCGCCAACCAAAUCUGAAGGAAGCCUACAACAUCAAGAGAGUUGCAGUGCCUGCCAAGUCAAGGAAAGGAGGAAUGAAGGAGUAUCAAAUAAAGAACCACCCCUCAAAGAGUUGUAUAAUGUCACCAUCGCUCCAGUGGCCGAUCUAUUUGAAGGAUCUGAGAUCGUUGUUGUCCCUGAUCGUUCUCUGUACAGAGUUCCAUUUUCUGCAUUGAUGAACGAAAAAGGAGAAUUUCUAGCUGAAAGGUUCAGGAUCCGGUACACUCCAUCUUUGACGACUCUCAAGCUGAUCCAAGACAGUCCUGCAGAUUAUCACAGUGAGACAGGAGUUCUCCUUGUUGGCGAUCCUGAUGUUGGUACACUUGAUCGAUUACCAUGUGCUAAAGAAGAAGUUGAGAUGAUUGGAAAGCUUCUUAAUGUUCAUCCUUUAACUGGUAAAGAAGCUACCAAGGAAGCGGUUCUACAGAGGAUACACUCUGUAAGUCUCGUUCACAUUGCGGCACAUGGUGAAGAAGAGAGAGGUAAUAUCGCAUUAGCUCCAUCCAACCGUGAGAAAGAUGACUUUCUGUUGACAAUGGCCGAUAUCUCAGUAGUCAGAUUGCGAGCCAAGCUUGUGGUGCUCAGUUGCUGUCACAGUGGAAAAGGCCACAUCAAAGCUGAAGGAGUUGUAGGAUUAGCUCGAGCCUUCCUAGGAUCUGGCGCUCGCUCAGUGUUGGCAUCUCUCUGGGCCGUGGACGACGAAUCAACAAAGGAGUUCAUGAAACAUUUCUACGAACACUUGGUGGAUGGGAAAAGUGCCAGUGAAUGUCUUCAUGAAACCAUGAAGUGGAUGAGGGAGAACCCUGGGUAUUCGGAAGUUAGAAAGUGGGCACCAUUCGUGCUGAUUGGAGAUGAUGUGUCAAUCAAAUUCGCCAAAUGAAUAUAGGUAAGAUACAUUUUACAAAAUGAAGGGUUAGGCCCGCUUUAGGCCGGCUCAGUAAAGGGCUAAGUUGUUUUCACACGUAGUGAAAUGCGAAACUAUAUUCGAGAAUAUUCUAUUACUUGAUGUUUCGUUUAUUAAAAAGGCGUUGCCUCUCACUGAUAGAUGUAUUUGAAGACAAGAAUCGUGAUCGACAUCAAUUCUAUACAAUUAUUUAAAAGCGUUGGGUUAUUAUGUAUCAAACCAGUUUUUUCAGCAGAAUCGAAGUGAGAAGGCCUGCCUAUGAUCUGUUAAAAGAAUCCGCUAACCUGUAAAAAUCGAUUGCUGUAAAGACCCGCCACAGAAAUCGAAUAAUUAUCAAAGCUUGGCUUGAUACUAGCGGUUUUUGGUUGUUGAUUCACCCAACCAGUUCCUAAAUGGAAACACUGUAAAAAUCACCAUGACAUUACCAAUUCAGACAGGGACCGCGCAGAGGGAGUGGCUGGUGGGGCUUCACAUCAAACUUCCCCCCCUUCCUUCCACUUUUUUUCACUAAAACUUGUUCUUCUAAGCAUGCCCCCAUCCUCUUUUUUAGUGGCCGACCGACCUCCAGCCGCAAUUACCACGACAGACAGCACUUUUUCAAAUUUUAUUGCAAUAGAAGACGAAGAAGGCGAGAGUUAGAAAGAAUUACUACACAAAAUGACUUAAAAUUUUUGGCAGAUGAAGCUCACCAAAGUUAAGUUACAAACCUCACUAGUACAAAUCGUGUCCAGAAUCCUACCCGUCUUAAUUACUUCACUCUGUAUGAAGCAGUUUAUGAGAAUGAGUUCACCAAUCGACUGACAAAUGACUCCUCUUGAGUUGGACCGAGAAGUCAACGAAAGGUUAUUGAUAACAACAAAAAAAAACGCUUUCAAAGUAUGCCUGCCCCAUUGCAACAUAUGAGGAAAUGUAAUUUCUGACGUUUGAGUGACAUGGGAACGAAAUAGUCAGAAAUUAAUAUUCUGACAGCACUUUGAAGAGGUUCGCGUUGCAUCACGGUAGUUUCGUAUUAUUUAAGCGUUUCGCGGGAAAAUUUAGCCAUUCUAGGUCGGUCAGUCCCAGGUUUGACCACCUUCUUUUUCAUAUUUAAUGUAGUUUUGUUUUACAACUCUCUGUAAGAUAUCACUGCUGUCAUUCAAUUUUCUGUGUGAUUGGUAGUGUAACUAGGUUUAUUUUAGUUACCCUUUCCUCGGGGUACAGUGCUGCUGUAUUAGAUGAGGAAUACGUUUCCACAUAUUUUUGGCCACUUCUAAAGAGUGGUUUUUUUAGUGGUUUUUCGCACAGGCUAUUUUUGUAUAAUCGUCCAGUUUCAGUGAAUAUUUGCAGUACAUUGCAGAUUGUAGAAGGGUGCGUAUACUACAAGACUGACUGACUCAUCCUAAAUAAAAUUUCACAUUGAAUAUCUCGCCUGGGUGUAGUCAGAAUCAUGAGGAAGCAAAGGUGUUUUUUCGGAGACGGAAUUCUACUUUUGUUCGUUGUUUUUUCGUUUGUUUUGUUUGUUUUGUUUGUUUUUUAAGAGAGAGAGACUACUUUAUCACUGAAGGAGAGAACCCCAGGCGUCUCAACACGGUAGACUGUUAACGAUACUGUUAAGAAGGGACUCAAAAAGGAAAUACAAGUUUA